GACGAACGCUGGCGGCGUGCUUAACACAUGCAAGUCGAACGGAAAGGCCCUGCUUUUGUGGGGUGCUCGAGUGGCGAACGGGUGAGUAACACGUGAGUAACCUGCCCUUGACUUUGGGAUAACUUCAGGAAACUGGGGCUAAUACCGGAUAGGAGCUCCUGCUGCAUGGUGGGGGUAGGAAAGUUUCGGCGGUUGGGGAUGGACUCGCGGCUUAUCAGCUUGUUGGUGGGGUAGUGGCUUACCAAGGCUUUGACGGGUAGCCGGCCUGCGAGGGUGACCGGCCACAUUGGGACUGAGAUACGCCCCAGACUCCUACGGGUGGCAGCAGUGGGGAAUAUUGCACAAUGGGCGGAAGCCUGAUGCAGCAACGCCGUGUGCGGGAUGACGGCCUUCGGGUUGUAAACCGCUUUCGCUCAUGACGAAGCUUUGUGUGACGGUAGUGGGUAAAGAAGCACCGGCUAACUACGUG
rnacentral:rRNA from 1 species